AAAAACAUCGCCUCUUGCUUCAGUGAAUAAGAGGUCACGCCUGCCCUGUGACUAUAUGUUUAACGGCCGCGGUAUUUUGACCGUGCAAAGGUAGCGCAAUCACUUGUCCUUUAAAUGUGGACCUGUAUGAAUGGCAUAACGAGGGCUUAGCUGUCUCCUUUCUCAAGUCAAUGAACUUGAUCUCCCCGUGCAGAAGCGGGGAUAAAACCAUAAGACGAGAAGACCCUAUGGAGCUUUAGACAAAAAACAGCCCCUGUCAAUAAACCCUAAAUAAAGGGAAUAAACCUAGUGAACCUGUUUUAAUGUCUUUGGUUGGGGCGACCGCGGGGUAACAAAAAACCCCCAUGUGGAAUGAAAACACCCUUUUUAAACCCAAGAGUCACCACUCUAGGAUACAGAACAUCUGACCAAUAAUGAUCCGGCUAAAGCCGAUUAACGAACCGAGUUACCCUAGGGAUAACAGCGCAAUCCUCUUUUAGAGUCCAUAUCGACAAGAGGGUUUACGACCUCGAUGUUGGAUCAGGACAUCCUAAUGGUGCAGCCGCUAUAAA
rnacentral:rRNA from 3 species